UUGCUUUGGUAGCACAUGUAGUAAAAUUGGAACGAUACAGAGAAGAUUAGCAUGGUCGCUGCACAAGGAUGACACACAAAUUCGUGAAGUGUUCCAUACUUUU
rnacentral:snRNA from 1 species